UACUAGAGUAGCACUCGCAUAUCAAUAAGCGGAGGAAAAGAAACUAACAUAGGAUUCCCUUAGUAACGGCGAGUGAAGCGGGAAGAGCUCAAAUUUGAAAUCUUCAAGGUUCUACCUUGACGAAUUGUAGUUUAAAGAAGUGUUUUCUGUUGAAGUUUUGGUAAAAGUUCUUUGGAAUAGGACAUCAUAGAGGGUGAGAAUCCCGUAUUUGAUCACUUAUUCUACUAGCUGUUGUGAUACACUUUCAAAGAGUCGGAUUGUUUGGGAAUGCAGUCCAAAAUGGGUGGUAAAUUUCAUCUAAAGCUAAAUAUUGGCGAGAGACCGAUAGCGAACAAGUACCGUGAGGGAAAGAUGAAAAGAACUUUGAAAAGAGAGUUAAACAGUACGUGAAAUUGUCAAAAGGGAAGCGUUUGACACCAGUGUUGUUUAGUUGAAAAUCAAUUCAAUAGUUUUUGAUUCUAAGUAGUAUUGACUUCAUCAGCUUGCUGCUUUCUUCUCAGAAAUUAUUGAAUGCACUUUUCAGUUAACAAGUCAACAUCAAUUUCUUUUGUUGUAAAAGGGUAAGAGGAAGGUGGCUUACGCUUCGGCGUAAGUGUUUAUAGCCUUUUACCUCUGCAAUCGGAGAGAUUGAGGACAGCAGCGUAGACUCCUUCGGGGGUUAGAUACACUUGAGCUAAGCUAUAGCCUUGUAUAGACAACUUGUUGACUAUGCUCAGUCAUGUAGCUUACUCGCUUGUGCUAUUUUACCUACGCUUAGGAUGUUGAUAGUCACAGCGUGUAC
rnacentral:rRNA from 1 species